GAUUCCGUAGAGCUGGGCUGGGGUCCAGGACUCUGCAUUUUAAGGGAUACCCCAGGAGAUCCUG
rnacentral:miRNA from 1 species